GAACACAUACAAAGGCCUCUUCCUCAUUUUUUAUAUUAGGCCUGCCUUCUAAGUCCUCUUUCUUUCCACCAUUUUCUGAGAUGCCCAACUUCAGAGAUGCCCAGCUUCAGACGCUUUCACACAAUUAUUCAUCUGCGUUUCAGGUGUAACUUCUCAAAGGAAUGUAGGAAGCUCCCCUUUCAGAGCUUGGGUUGAGAACCAGGCUUGAGAUCCUGCUGUUUUGAUUGGUGGAGCCCAUCCACCAAUCAGGAGGCAGCAAGAGAAAUAGAGUCAUGCCCCUUUCCUGAGGGGAGGGGGAGAAGAGCUCCCCCAGACCUGACUGAAGACUGUAAGCUGUCAGGUCCAGAAGACUUCAGGGGAGGAGCCCCGGCACGUAUAAAAGGAGAUGCGUGCCCAGCACCAGUGGCAGAUCCAGCGAGGGAUUCAAGAAAAGUGGAGCCAAGAAAAGCUUGGGAGCUCUCUCCCAGUGGGCAAUAGGCCCAAGGCUCCUGAAGCUGCCACUGGAGGAGCAGCCUUGGGAGUGGUGCAAGACCACUCGGGCUGUUGACGGUGCACAGGGAUGGUGCGUGGAGACCCAGUCCUGGGAGCGGCGUGAGACCACUGGGGCCCAUCACGGUACAUGGUUCAGUGCAUGGAGCCCAGCCUUUGGGAGCUGCAAGCAGUGGCUCAAGCCUGCAACCCCAGAGGGCCAGCAGGCCAUAUGGUAUGCAGGGAGGCACACGGGCCCGAGCCUUGGGAGCCAUGGCAGGGCAACUCAGGCAUCAUUGUGAGUAACCCUGGCAGGAGGCUGGGCAGGGAGGUGCACAAGCAACGCACAAGGGAGCGGUGCCAGGGAGCAGUGGAGGCUGUUUGGGUUAGCCACUCGGCAUAAGGACGGACAGCCAGAGACUGAAAGGUCCAGCCUGUGCUAAAAGAGCUCUUGGUGCCAAGCCAGGGCAUGGGGAAAUGGUAAUGCUGCAGCGUGAGGCCCAGCACCCAGAAGCCAUCAGCAGUGGUGCAGCAGCUGAGAGGAGCUGAGCCCUCGGUGCCCAGAGUGGGGCACAGGGUGGGGAGGAGCCCAGCGGUACGGGAGAGGCCUGGAGAGGCACUCCAGCAGAGGAGACCCCAUCGAGCUGCGCCCUGACCACCACCACCUGAAGGAAUAACAGUAUAGCUGUAUGAAUCCAGAGACGGCAAAGUCUGAAGACUGAAACUCAACUGCUAACUGUUUAAAAGGAGGUUGGCAGAAUAAGGAAAGAGGUUUGAAGUUUUAUUUCUCAUCAGAUUUCACUUGCUGAGCAUAUGCCUCAAGAAAAAUGGUCUGAGAAGAAGAAGAAAAAUAAACAGAGGCAAUCAAGAAAGGGAAAUAUCCCUUUGGUAUGCGUGACAGAGAAUUCAGGACAGCAAUACAGAAAUGCAAGGCGCUUCAAGGGGGUCUCCACUAGCUCCCCUGCAAUUGUGUUUCUGAUGGUCGAACGGAAAUCAAGUCACAGCUGUGUGCCACGUUUGGGUUUAUAUUAAUGCAAUUAACACUGCCGUUUGCUGACCCACUUCUUCUAAUCCAUCUUCUCCUCCCCAGGGCUGGUGCAUCAUAUAUAUUUCUUUUUCUGCUGGCUGGAACCUGGAUCUGAUUGUGCAAGACUCCCUAUUCUUGGUUGCUUGGCAGGGGAUGUUCUUGCACUAGAUCUCAAUGAGACAUGACAUUCUAAAUGCACUAGAAAAUUCAGGCAUCUAACAACCUUAAACAAUUGUUGCUAAUAUUCCUAUUCUAGAUGACAGGGGACCAGAUCCAGCUCCCUUGAACUCAAUGAGAAGUCUGACAUAGACUUUAGGGGGGCUCUCCCAGGUCCAUAGAGGGUAUCACAAACAGGAUUGUAGGUGGACUCUGUUCUAAGGGGGCAGAAAAUCUAUUCAAGGUUGUUCUGCUUAGUCCAUGUGCACUAAAAUAAUAAGAUGCUUCUCUCAGAGGGUUGAAUCCACUGACUCUCUCCCUUUUCAUUUUCAGACCAUCCUAGGCAAAUCUCAUCUAGGAAUCCAGAUUAAGUUAGUACUAAAAAAUGACAAAUUUUAACCUUUGUAACCAACCAAUACCAACUUUCAAUGGUGAGACCACAGCCUCUCUCUGGAUGGAGAGCCGGGGGGAGAGGGCGGUUGGGGGGGGGGGGGGUGGUGCAGAAGAAAAUUUAGCCUUCAGAUUCACUCAGUCAAAGCAAGUUUAUUAUGAGAAUCAAUUGUAGGACUUUGAGAUCUGUGCCUGCCCAGUGGUAUGUAAUAGGGCUGCACAAAGCUUUGGUUGGUGAUUCGAUUCAGAGGAGAUUCGGCCUGAUUUGGUGGCUGAAUCUUCGAAUCCGAAUCGAAUCAGGGGACCAAUCUAAGGUCUGAAUUGAUUCAAAGCUCUCCAAAUCUUCAGAAAAGAUUCAGAGAGCUUUGAUGAUUUGGGCAGUCCCUGGUGGCUGCAGCAGGGAAGGGGAAAAAAGUCAAGAAAAUCCCUGGGACUCACCGCUCCUGCAGUGGCCUUGGGGCUUUGAGGACUCAUGCAGAGCCCCCCACAUGGCUUGGGGCAGUGGGGAUAACCCCCUCUCCCCCAACUGGCAGGAGUGGUGAGUCCAGGUUUUUUUUCAUUUUUUUUUCUUAAAGGGCUAGAGCUGGCUGGGGCAGGGCACCUGUGGGGGGCCUGAGGGAGCGAGGGGGGAGUUGGGGGGCUCAUGCAGAGCCCCCCAUGCAGUAGGGGGUAAUGGGGGGCAGCAGGAAUCCCCCCCCCCCAAUCCAGCAGCACCCACUGAGCUGGGGCUUUUAUUUUUUCCAAGUGCCAGGAGCUGGGGUAGCCAUUGCCGGGCUGGGAGAGGGGUGGGGGACAGGCAUGGCCUGGCUGAUUCAGAGACCUGAAUCAGAUUUGGCUGAAUUGAAUUGGGACAGUGAUUCAAAUUGGGACAGUGAUUUGAAUCACCGAAUCAAAUCACUGUCCCCUGAAUUGGCUGAAUCUGAAUCCAAAGCAAAUACUAGCCGCUUCACACAGGCCUAAUAUGUAAGCAUUAUUUAUUGUAAGAUUUUAAAUAACUGAAGGAUAAGUUCUCUUACUGGAUCUCUGAGCAAUUUAGGUAGAGAAUUAAAUUAGCUAAAUUGGAAUCUAGCUAAUAUCUUGAUGUUUAAUAAUCUUACCUUGGCAAACAGUACUGUGACAUCUCAAAUGACUAUGAAUGAUUACAGCCUUUUUUUGCAUGUAUUAGCCAAAAGACAUACCUGUUCAUCCAAAACAACAUAGCUACAAUAUUAGGCUUCUCCAGACUGUUAUACCAACAAGUCUAAAUCUUGAUAUGAAGAAGUUAUCUACAUGAAGAAAAAAAAUUGAGUUUCUUUUUAUAGUAACAUCUAUAGUAUCACUAUGCUUCACAAAUAAACCACUAGUAUGAUAUGCCAAUAAGGCUUUCCAAGAAGCAAUGUAAUUCUUGUGGUUACUCAUUUUAAACUAAUAUUUUACCAUCUUUUUCUUUUUAAUGAAUGUUGGACCAAAAAAAACAGAUUCCACAUGGUCUGAACACUGAGGCUAUUUGUACAUGAAACAAACUGUUGUAGCAAUGAAAAUGAGCACAGCUAUUCUUACAGAGCUACUCAUCUCUGUCUCCUUUAUGGAAGUUAGAACUUUAGAGAAGGUCACACGAUUUGGGAGUAAAUCACAUGAGAACACUUCAGGCCACUCGGAAUGGAAGUAAUAAACCAGUGUGACAGACUUACCCAAUCGAGCUCCGUGUCCAGGGGCUCGAGACUACUCAAUUCUGAUUGGUGGAGCCAAUUCACCAAUCAGGAACAAGCUGGCGGAAAGCGGGAACCACCCCCUUCCCAAGGUGGGGGGAGAGGAGCUCCCCAACUGGACUGUGGACUGCAGCACAGCUGGUCCGCCAGACUGCCUCUGAAGCAUUUAAAAGGAGAGCGUGCUCAGCAUGCUGGAGGCAGACACGGCGAGGGACAGCGAGGAGAGAGGAGCUCUGGAGAAGACUGUCAUUGAGACCCUGCCUAAGCCCUGGCUCUAGGCCGGGUAACCAGAGCCUGUCAAUGUGGUUCAGCAUUAAACUAAAAGAGCCCCGGUGCCCAGAUCAGGGUCUGGGAAAGGGAAAGAUCCCUGGCGUGAGGCCGAGGAACUGGAGCCAGUAAGGGUUCAGCUCCUGUAGGAGUGCCCUGGGUGCCCAGUGCGAGGCACCAGGCCAUCAAGAGGAGCCAGAGGCACCUCAGGAGAGAGGCCCUUGUGGGACUGGCCACCAGGGGAUGCGCUUUGUCUGCUUCAGAGCAGGAGCAUGAGUUGCUGAGGAAGUGGGUCCCACAGGGGAGCCAGGCUUGGGAGAGGAGUGUCUACAGCCUCCACCCUCCUCCAUUGUCCACAUCCCGGGACCCUAAAGGGAAGGGGCUCCAGGGAACACCCCAUGGGGUGCUGAAUGCACCCCAUUGUUUGUGAUUGAUGUUUGCUUCAUACUGUAAAUGUUAAUAUAGUUAUGGGUACUCCUUAAAGGGGUUUAUAUAGGUUUACCUGUCUUUAUUACCCAUAUAUGUUUACUGCCUAUUAUCUCAACUUACCAGUAUUGUUGCUUGUGUACAUCUAUUGCAAUGCUACCUCAACUUACCUGGGUUUAUCUGAGUUGAUGCGUAUAUGCAUUUAUUGUGUUGAUGCCUUGACUUACCUGUUCCAGGGGGUUAAUGUUUAUCUGUGCAGGGGGGUUAAUUAUUGCCUACACUGUGGAUCACGUGUACUGAGUUCCCAGUUACCUGAUCUUGGUUUUGCAGUCCCUCAAAGUGGUGCAAUGUGUUGAUUGCAGGUUAUUGUAUAUGGUGUCACAUUGCAAUUGUACUGUAAAUAUUUAAUGUCUUUUAUUUGUAUUUAUUUUUGUAUAGCAAUAAAUUUAUAUAUAGUUAA